GAGCGGAAGUCACACGACCUACUCCGCUGAGGUCCGCAAAAAACAAUAUUUUUAAACAGGAAAAGAUGAGAAGAGCACGCCCGUGAGUUUAAACAUAAAGGUAUGGAACUGCGUGAUUGCCUAGGUUUUUGGGUGGUUUAUGUCACAGCCUUCGGGGACACACCGAAGAUGCACGUCUUUCUCUGCUGCACCACCAGCACAGGGUGCUGUCCGCCAGACCGUUUGAACCACAAACCCCUUUCCAAAGGGCUCGAGCGGUACAUAUUUACCAGUCACUCCCAAAACCCUUUGGAGGGGUUCACAGAGUGUGUAUUGUGGCCGGGGACAGCAGAUGCACCAGAACCGCGGCGCACGUCCUUCCCCCACAGGAUGCACCGCUCCGGUACGACGAUAACUGUCCGAGCGACUCAAGCGAGAUCACAAAUCUAACUCAGCAAAGACCUGUACACAGGGAAUAUGAAAUAUAGCACAAAACCAGAACAUACAUGUUGUGUAUUAAUG
ensembl:lncRNA